rnacentral:rRNA from 1 species
GGGCAGCGGAAAUUCCCGGUGUAGCGGUGAAAAUGCGUAGAGAUCGGGAGGAACACCAGUGGCGAAGGCGGCUGCUUGGGGCCUGACUGACGCUGAGGCGCGAAAGCUGGGGGAGCAAAACAGGAUUAGAUACCCUGGCAGUCCCAGCCGUAAACGAUGAGCGCUACGUGUGGUGGGUAUCGACCCCUGCCGUGCGGUAGCCAACGCAUUAAGCGCUCCGCCUGGGGAGUACGGCCGCAAGGCUGAAACUCAAAGGAAUUGACGGGGGCCCGCACAAGCGGUGGAGCAUGUGGUUUAAUUCGAAGCAACGCGUAGAACCUUACCUGGGCUUGAAAGGCCGCUGUAGCGCCCGAAAGGGCGUGAGCCCCGCAAGGGGAGGGCGGUACAGGUGGUGCAUGGUUGUCGUCAGCUCGUGUCGUGAGAUGUUGGGUUAAGUCCCGCAACGAGCGUAACCCCCGUCCCGUGUUGCCAGCACGCGAGGUGGGCACUCACGGGAGACUGCCGGGGACGACCCGGAGGAAGGUGGGGAUGACGUCAAAUCAUCAUGCCCCCGAUGUCCAGGGCUACACACGUGCUACAAUGGCCGAGACAGAGCGGACCGAACCUGCGAGGGGGAGGGAAUCGCAAAAACCCGGUCCCAGUUCGGAUCGCAGGCUGCAACUCGCCUGCGUGAAGGCGGAAUCGCUAGUAAUCGCGGAUCGGCACGCCGCGGUGAAUGCGUUCCCGGGCCUUGUACACACCGCCCGUG